rnacentral:rRNA from 1 species
AUUGAACGCUGGCGGCGUGCUUAACACAUGCAAGUCGAACGNGAAAGGGANUUCGGNCCNGANUAAAGUGGCGCACGGGUGAGUAACGCGUGGAUAAUCUGCCCUUAUGAUUGGAAUAACAGUUGGAAACGGCUGCUAAUACCGGAUACGCUCAAAAUGAACUUUUUGAGGAAANNUGNCCUCUGCUUGCAUGNUANNGCAUGANGAUGAGUCCGCGUCCCAUUAGCUUGUUGGNNGGGUAACGGCCNACCAAGGCAACGAUGGGUAGCCGAUUUGAGAGGAUGAUCGGCCACACUGGAACUGAAACACGGUCCAGACUCCUACGGGAGGCAGCAGUGGGGAAUAUUGCGCAAUGGGCGAAAGCCNGACGCAGCGACGCCGCGUGAGGGAUGAAGGUUUUCGGAUCGUAAACCUCUGUCAGAAGGGAAGAAAC